rnacentral:misc_RNA from 1 species
AAGUCGUAACAAGGUUUCCGUAGGUGAACCUGCGGAAGGAUCAUUAAUAAUAAUGGCCUGGCGAUGAAGCAGGGCUGUCACACCCGUGUUGUUGUUGCUGCGUUUGAGAGCGGCUUUGCUUGGCGGCGGUCCUUUGGGAUCUGCCGUCCUCAUUUUACCGGAUCGUUCUGUUCUGACAUGCCAAAAGUCGUGCGAUCAGCACGCGAACAACAGUUACGAAAACUGUUGGCAACGGAUCACUUGGUUCUC